CCGGAGCAGCCCUGCAGACAUCUUGAGGGCGGCUGCCGGAGGACAGCGGGGAGAGGAAACGCGCGGAGGGCGGCGGGGGCGGGCAGCCCGGGGUUAUCACGCUGCAAUCCGGCAGCGGGGAGGAGGCCCCUGCGGGAGCCGGGCUACAGAUGACCCCUGCAGAUGACGUUCCCCUGGGAAGGUGCAUUGGAGUCGGGGGCACGUCGGUGUCUCCCAGCGCCAGUGCGGAUCUAGGAGCAAUCAAGGGGAAAUACAAUACCUCGGGGAAAUCAGCUCGUUCAGUUCUCGCCGUUGUCUGCGCUCUGCACUGCAUGAAACAGUCUGAUGGGGUGGGCCGCGGAAGCGGUGCUUAUCUAUUCUAGCCCACUACUCUGUACCGGUUGUUCUGGGUGAGAAUGACAGUCCCUGCAGUUGUCCUUUGUUAUCCAUACAGAAUAGGAACAAUGUUAUCCCAUGCCAAAACAUGUAAUCCGCUGGCCUGCCUUGAGUGCAGGGGACUGGACUGGGUGACCUCUAGGGGCCCCUUCCAGUCCUGUGAUUCUGUGUGACCUGCCUAGUAUGACUACACUCUGCCCCUACUCCUCAGUUGCUCCAUUUCUGUUGUCCCCAGAGUCACUGCAGUAAUUAAGAACAAUUUCACCUCUAAGAGACACAUAACCCCUGAUGUUUGGUACUUGUAUGGUGCUCUGUAAUUGUCAAGAGGUCUUAUUGAGGAAUUACAGAGGUCAGAUUUGUAGGGCGAUAUUGUACCACCAUAUAGCAGUAAGUGUCUUUCCUUCUGUAACAUAGAAACUUGGUGCAGUUACUCUGUGGACCUUUAAGGAUAUAUUUUAGCUGUUUUUUUUUUUUUAUUGGCAUCACACUUUGAGAUCGGAACAUACUCGAUUUUGAUUUAUAAUACAACAAAAUUAUUUAACUUUAGCCAGAUGUAAGCAAGAUACUGGGGAAAGCUUUCUAACUAUGAAAAUAGUUAAAUACUGGAAUUGGUUACCUAGAGAGAUUGAGGAAUCACUGUCGUUGAACGUUUUUAAGGUUAGACAAACAUCUGGCAGGGAUGGUCCAGGUACGCUUAAUCCUGCCUCAACAGCGGGGGAGAAUGGAGUCAAUGACUUCCUGAGCCCUACAUUUCUGCCAUUCUGUGGUGCACAGCUACCAUGAUUGCAUGUGCCUGUCAAUUGACUGCAUGCACCUUUGGCUCAGUGGUCAUUUUAAACAUGGUGGUAUAUGCAAAUUAGCCAUGAAAUUGCAUGUCCAUCUUUUUUAGUUCUUAAAUAUCAAAUCAGCAUGUCCCCCUAGCAGGGAUUUGCAGAUUACAAGACUAUCCACAUACGAAGAAACGACCAUUGUUGAACAGUCAGUUUUGUUAGAAGUUUACAAGUGCUUUAGUUAAAAUCCAAACGUUCCAGCCCAUCUAAACUAACAAUUAACUGUUUUGAAACAAUAUAAUCUGAUACUAUUGAUGUGGUGCACCAGAUUGUGUGAAGUACAUUCACUGGGUGCAAUCCUGCUGUCCAUACACUGUUCUUACUUUGGAAAGAUGCCUGUUAGAAUGCAAUGGGAGUUCUGCCCAACUAAGGCCCACGGGCUUUCAUCCAGUGCAUUAAAUUUUCAGUUGGCAGGUCACAGAAAGAGUGACAUGGAACAAGCUUCAGUUGUACCGAGAAUUUUGAGACCUUAACUAUGCCGCAAUUAAAUGUUUUCACAAGGCUUUGAGCAAACAGACAUGACACACCUACAUUAGUAUUAUAUAACAGAUAGUAGUUAGACAUGUGAGCAGGGAAAAACUCAAGUCAGAACUGCUUUUUUAAUGUGUCCACCUUAAACCAGUGGAUUAUGAAUUUGGAAGAGUUUUAUGAAUGUCACCUUCUAGUCAACAAUAAUGUUCCCUUGGCAAUAAUGAAAAGUAUUUUUUGGAAUGGUUCCCAACCACGUGCACUUAUUAUUCCAUAAAUCUGUACUGAUUCCACUUGUGACAGACUAUACACCUGCAGUCGUUCAUUUCAUAACUAACAAAAAUGCCUAGUUUGUUGUGGCAAAGUAUUGUGAAUGUGAAAGGAGCUAUAAUGUGGAAAGUUUUGAUGUGUCCUGGUUUCAGAACAGUCCAAGAAGUGGCUUGUGGGAUUUGAUUUUUCCAUUGACGUGUACCUUGUGUACUCAUUGAUACCUGAGUGUAAUUGUUGUCAUUAUUUAUAACGUAUUACAUUUGCUUUGCACAGGGGUUAGUGAUGAUGCAAGAUUCAAAUCAGUGGAGAAUCUGGCCUCUGGAGUAGGAGAAUUCAUUUUUAGGAUAGAAAGAAGUAAGCAAAUACCCUGAUAUUCUUUUCUGGUUCAUUUUAUUCACAAGUUUUACAUUCUUACUUGCAAAAACAUCAGUGCUGGUGCAAUCUGACACCCACCCACCCUAUAUGUAUUUCUCAUUUAAACACUGCUUCCUCCUGCCCCAAUCCCCUUGUCCCAGCCAGAUGUACACUCUUCAACUUUGGAAUGUGUGUGAGACACAGGGAAAUUUCCUGCAAUGUUUCUGAAAGACCUUAUUGUAUAAGUUUAUGUAUAAUCAUGAGCCAGGAUUGUAUAUUACAUCUCUGGGCAGGGGCUGGGAGAUACAUCAGUUGUAAGACCCAGGCGUUCAAAAAGACUAUAUUGAAAGUAUGCCAGACAAGUAUGGACUUCGGGGACAAUAAAUUUUAAGUGGAUUUCCUGGGGAAUCCCUAGGUAGAGGUUAAUGAAAAUUAAUCCAUUCCAGUUAUGGGGGG